ACGGCCAUGUUUGAGUGACGAGGAAGAAACAAGGUUUUUGAGAGAUGGCGGCCAAGAAAAAUAAAUAGGGUUAUCGAUAUAGUUCUGAUACCAUGUAAGGAAACGUAUUUUCAUAUAUUGUAAUGUUACACGAGAGUGUGUUUAUAUACACAGAGACACUAGGUAUUCACAAUAACUAAACUUCCUAAAACAGAGGGAUUGUGAAAUAUAUGCAAAUCAUAAUCAUAUCUCUAACAAGCUAUUGGUUUCUUUGUUUAUCAAGUAUUUUGUUUUGUUUCAUUCCGUAAAACAAAUAUUGUUUUAGUAUAGCAUAUUAUGUAAGUGAAGACUUGGUGUGAAGCCUUGGAGAUAGAUAUGCUGACCUAUUAUUAUAAAGUAUAAAUAUGUCAAUAUGAAUUGUGAUUCAGUUUGAUCCAAUCAUUUAUCACUGACGUGAGUUGCUUUAGCUAAUUUCAUUAUAUUAAUUAACUUCAAAUAAUUGGCUUUGAACUGCACAGUAGCAUCUUCUUGUUUUAUUUUGAUCGUAAUGGUUGUGUGC
rnacentral:lncRNA from 1 species